AGCAAGCACCGGCUAACUCCGUGCCAGCAGCCGCGGUAAUACGGAGGGUGCAAGCGUUAUUCGGAAUCACUGGGCGUAAAGGACGCGUAGGCGGGUUGCCAAGUCUGAUGUGAAAUCCUACAGCUCAACUGUAGAACUGCAUUAGAAACUGGUAACCUAGAGUAUGGGAGGGGGAGAUGGAAUUAGUGGUGUAGGGGUAAAAUCCGUAGAUAUCACUAGGAAUACCGAAAGCGAAGGCGAUCUCCUGGAACAUUACUGACGCUAAGGCGUGAAAGCGUGGGGAGCAAACGGGAUUAGAUACCCCGGUAGUCCACGCCCUAAACGAUGAACACUAGUCGUCGGGAUGCUAGUCAUCUCGGUGAUGCACUUAACAGAUUAAGUGUUCCGCCUGGGGAGUACGGUCGCAAGAUUAAAACUCAAAGGAAUAGACGGGGACCCGCACAAGUGGCGGAGCAUGUGGUUUAAUUCGAAGAUACGCGAAGAACCUUACCUAGCCUUGACAUUGAUUGAACGGACCAGAGAUGGACCGGUGCCCUUCGGGGAACAUGAAAACAGGUGCUGCACGGCUGUCGUCAGCUCGUGUCGUGAGAUGUUGGGUUAAGUCCCGCAACGAGCGCAACCCUCGUCUUUAGUUGCCAGCAGGUUAAGCUGGGCACUCUAAAGAGACUGCCUUCGCAAGGAGGAGGAAGGUGAGGACGACGUCAAGUCAUCAUGGCCCUUAUGGCUAGGGCUACACACGUGCUACAAUGUGGCGUACAGAGAGUUGCGAUACCGCGAGGUGGAGCCAAUCUCAUAAAGCGUCUCUCAGUUCGGAUUGAAGUCUGCAACUCGACUUCAUGAAGCU
rnacentral:rRNA from 1 species